GCCAUCGGAGCAAAAUGGCGAUGCGCCCGGCUGUUAACCGGAAGAUAACGGGUUCGAUUCCCGUCGAUGGCU
rnacentral:tRNA from 1 species